rnacentral:lncRNA from 1 species
CUUAGAGCUUAUUAAAGUUCCUUUAUGUAUUAUCUCAUGUGAUUCUCCCCAAGAGGGAAGAAUGACCAUUAUGUACCAUGUAACCUCAUGUUACAGGUAGGUAACUAAUACUGAGAGAAGUAAAAUAAUUUAUUGAAGGUUGCAUGUAGUAGAGAUAGUAAUGCUCACUAAACAUUCCAUUUGUUCUACAUUUCUCAGCUUCCUUAAUUAAUUUGAGGCCAUGUGGUUAACAAUGGCCAAUGAAAUGUGAGUGAAAGUGAAUAGAGAUGCUAGGUGCCUGAAGAGCAUAGGACAGUUUUAGACAACAAAGAAUUGUCCUGUAUCUCAUGACUUCUUUGAACCUCGCUGAAUAAUUAUGUACAUAGAAAUCCUGUUUAUAAUGAGAAAGGAAGAGCAACCCCUACAGCUGUCAGCUGGAAGCUGAUUUAGCCCUAAUGGCUAGGCUAUUAUAUUCUGUUGAAUAUAAACAAUGUUAUAUAACACCAACAUCUGACAAGUCCACUCUGAGUGUGGUGGAGGAAGACAAAAAUUAAGACACUCCAUAGGCAUGUUGGAACUUAGCAAGAUUCUGUGUAAAUCAUAGAGCGACCAAACAUUCUUGUCUCUUGGCUUAUAUGUGUGAUAUUUGCUCCAUUACCCAUUAGAUCACUCUGUUCCUUCUUCCUCCUAGAUUAAAAAUUUCAAUAUUUACACUCAUUUAGAAUUUCCCUUGCUUUCUGAAAGCACUUAAUCCAGAGUAAAACCAUGAUUCAUGGAGCCCUUCUUGAAAUCACCCAACACAACCCCAAAUCCUUUAAAAAGCCCUUCCCAGCACCCUCAUACUGAGGCACCCCAUGGUUCCCCAUGGUGUGUGAUCUCUCUUGUGUAAAAGUGUGCUGAUAAACCCAACUCGAUUCAACUGCAGAUCUGUUCCUCAUGAUCUCUGACGGGUGGACAUUGACAAUAAUUUUUUGAGCUUAGAUUAUAACUCCAUUUUAUAUUUUUGUUGUAGAUCUGCAGUACUUGAUUUGCUCAAAAAUGCAAUUACCAGUUAAGUGAGGGAAGGUCGUAGUCUUUGUUCAGUACGUAACCAAGAGUUUUCUAUCAUUUUAAAAACUGUCACUAGUGGCAACAUUGCUCAUGGCAUUUGAGUUCCAGGUCAAAACUACUGCAGUAGUCUGCAUUUGUAGUGGGCACAUUAAUGGUAAUUAUAUGUACAUGUGCAAGCAUCUAAUGAUUGUGUCAUCAGGAGUUUUGGCCAUCUCCAGUUUGAAUUACACAUUACCGUAAGUUGCUUCCUUUUAUUUGUCUGUUACAUUACAGUUAGAUAUUAAAGAUACCUUUAAUCAUGAUAGAUGAUUUAAAAAUAUGCCUCACGUAAGUUAUAUUGUUUGUGUUUUAGAAUAAUAAAACAUGUUUAAAAAUAUUUCUGAUAAAAAGUGGCUGUGGGCCUGAAGGGGUGAAAACCAUUAGUCUACAGUCAUUGAUGAACAGUCUGUCCCUUAGGCCCUCUUAGUUGGAGCUGAAGAGUGUAUAGAUACGAACUUGAACUCUGGUGUUCUAAUAUUCUGUGUUGCUUACUGAAGGUAGAUGCCAUGUGCUUUGGAAACCAGCAUGGACAUUCUAUGAAAUUUGAGAAGAGAAGCAGUUUUCUCAUUUAGAUGGUCUAUCAUGGGUGGUAAUAUCUAGUGUUCUAAGUGAAUGUAGUAGAUGCUGCUUAUAUUAAUUUAAGAGAAAUCCUAUAUAUCCCAUUAAAAAAAAUCGUAGAGAAACAUUUCCAGAAUGGUGGAGUAUGGAUCUUUGAAUAUCUGAUUCUGCAUAAAAUCAAUGAGGACACUGGCAGGAAUGAUCAAAAUAAACUUUUUUAAACUCUGGAAAUUAACCAAACGAUUGCAACAA